rnacentral:rRNA from 2 species
AUGAACGCCGGCGGUGUGCCUAAUACAUGCAAGUCGAACGCGUUGGCCCAAUUGAUUGAUGGUGCUUGCACCUGAUUGAUUUUGGUCGCCAACGAGUGGCGGACGGGUGAGUAACACGUAGGUAACCUGCCCAGAAGCGGGGGACAACAUUUGGAAACAGAUGCUAAUACCGCAUAACANCGUUGUUCGCAUGAACAACGCUUAAAAGAUGGCUUCUCGCUAUCACUUCUGGAUGGACCUGCGGUGCAUUAGCUUGUUGGUGGGGUAAUGGCCUACCAAGGCGAUGAUGCAUAGCCGAGUUGAGAGACUGAUCGGCCACAAUGGGACUGAGACACGGCCCAUACUCCUACGGGAGGCAGCAGUAGGGAAUCUUCCACAAUGGGCGCAAGCCUGAUGGAGCAACACCGCGUGAGUGAAGAAGGGUUUCGGCUCGUAAAGCUCUGUUGUUAAAGAAGAACACGUAUGAGAGUAACUGUUCAUACGUUGACGGUAUUUAACCAGAAAGUCACGGCUAACUACGUGCCAGCAGCCGC